CUCAGGCCCACCUGUGAGCGGAUGGAUGCACACACUGCUGCCACUGAGCUGACCAUCAUCUAGGGGUGUUUCUCCACCAGAUUUGAGCAGUUCUCCCGGCUCAGGGACUUGUGUCAUCUGCCCUCUACUUUCCCCACACUGAUGUCAUGCAGAUGGGCGUCACUGCUGUGCCUGUCCGUGCCUGGACACAACAACCACUGAGACAAAAGGGCAGCAAGCCCCACAACCAUGCGAAGGGGGCCCCCGAUCCAGCCCCACUUGUACUGGAGUCCCAGUGGGAGACUGUGACCCAUAGCGCUGCUGCUGGCAACAGGGAGAAGUCCUAC